rnacentral:rRNA from 1 species
CAGGUGCUGCAUGGCUGUCGUCAGCUCGUGUCGUGAGAUGUUCGGGUUAAGUCCCGCAACGAGCGCAACCCCUAUCCUCAGUUGCCAUCAUUAAGUUGGGCACUCUGUGGAGACUGCCGGUGUCAAACCGGGAGGAAGGUGGGGAUGACGUCAAGUCCUCAUGGCCCUUAUGACCAGGGCUACACACGUGCUACAAUGGCCGGUACAAAGAGUUGCGAUACCGCGAGGUGGAGCUAAUCUCAUAAAGCCGGUCUCAGUUCGGAUUGGAGUCUGCAACUCGACUCCAUGAAGUUGGAAUCGCUAGUAAUCGCGGAUCAGCACGCCGCGGUGAAUACCGGUUCCCGGGCCUU